UACGGAGGGUGCAAGCGUUAUCCGGAUUCAUUGGGUUUAAAGGGAGCGUAGGUGGCCUUAUAAGUCAGUGGUGAAAUCUCUGGGCUUAACCCAGAAAUUGCCAUUGAUACUGUAGGGCUUGAGUACAGUUGCUGUGGGCGGAAUAUGACAUGUAGUGGUGAAAUACAUAGAGAUGUCAUAGAACACCGAUUGCGAAGGCAGCUCACAAAACUGUAACUGACACUGAGGCUCGAAAAGUGCGGGGGAUCAAACAGG
rnacentral:rRNA from 1 species